AUAAAUUGAAGCGUUUUAAUUCGAUGAAGAUUAACACAAUUUACUUUUUCGUUAAACACAAAGCCGUUUCAUUCAUGAUGAUUUCGGAGCGUAUCGACAAAAUUGUAGUUAAUUGUUCAUAAUUUCGAAACCAAGUCGCCUCCAUCAUGCAUACUCUGAGCAUACUAUGCAUAAUACUUAUGCUUCAAAACUUAUUGCAAUUGGCCCUGGGAAUUCCGGUAUGUUUACAAAUUGGUGAUGUUCGUACCGUUUUAUUUGAAGUGCCAACCGAGGGACAAACCUUAAAAAUUAUAAUACCGCAACAAUAUAGUGGGUUACCGUUGAAAGCAGAACCAUUUGAUCCAACUUCGAAAAAAACAAGCACGAAUCCAGACAUGUGGCCAUGCAUUCUAACAGGACAUAAUGAUGCGAAACCAAUUGAGUCUAAAUAAAAUUGAUGAUUUAGACGAAAAGAGUAAAAUCUGUUUAGUGAAUGAUUUGGAAGCGUAAGACAAAUAAAUAAAAUAACAGUUUUCACCGAAUAAUA